UCGAGAGGGGGUCCUACCACAUACCACUAGCCUGGGGAAAAGACCCAAACUCAAAAUUCUACGUACAGUUUCUACUGCAUGCAUGCUGCUUUUGCAAAAUCUUAAGAGUCAAAAAAAUCAGAAGUCUAACCGUCAUAAGCCGGGGACCAUCUGUGUGUUAACACCAUUCACUUGCCAAUGUAUUUGUUGAUUUCAAAAUAAUUCAAGUAAUUUUAAGCUAUACACAUUUUUUUUCCUCUAGCAAAACGUCCUGGGCCACUCAGCCCCAUGGUGUGGAUGUGCCUCUGUCAGAUAACGCCUGGAACCAGGCUGAAGGUUCUUCCCAGACCCAGUUUUCCUACCAUCCAGCCCACAAAAGGCUCAGGAAUUUGUGUGGAAAGGUCCCCGGGGGCGAGCACCAGAGGCCCAGCGCUAUCAUUCUGGCUGUCUGAACUUCAACAAACUGCCUGAACACCAUGAGCCCCCAGCCCCCUCAGCGUAGCUCCUUCCUGCCCUUUCUCCUUGUUUUCGGAAGGAACCGAGAGCCGGCUCCUCUUCUGGGAGAACUUCAGAGCCCACCCAUCCACCAC